AGUGAACGCUGGCGGUAGGCCUAACACAUGCAAGUCGAACGGCAGCACAGUAAGAGCUUGCUCUUACGGGUGGCGAGUGGCGGACGGGUGAGGAAUACAUCGGAAUCUACUUUUUCGUGGGGGAUAACGUAGGGAAACUUACGCUAAUACCGCAUACGACCUACGGGUGAAAGCAGGGGAUCUUCGGACCUUGCGCGGUUGAAUGAGCCGAUGUCGGAUUAGCUAGUUGGCGGGGUAAAGGCCCACCAAGGCGACGAUCGGUAGCUGGUCUGAGAGGAUGAUCGGCCACACUGGAGCUGAGACACGGUCCUGACUCCGACGGGAGGCAGCAGCGGGGAAUAUUGGACGAUGGGCGCAAGCCUGAUCCAGCCAUACCGCGUGGGUGAAGAAGGCCUUCGGGUGGUAAAGCCCUUUUGUUGGUAAAGAAAAGCAGCAGGUUAAUACCCCGCUGUUCUGACGGUACCCAAAGAAUAAGCACCGGCUAACUUCGUG
rnacentral:rRNA from 1 species